UACGGGGGGGGUAAGCGUUGUUCGGAAUUACUGGGCGUAAAGGGCUCGUAGGCGGCCAACUAAGUCAGACGUGAAAUCCCUCAGCUUAACUGGGGAACUGCGUCUGAUACUGGAUGGCUUGGAUUCGGGAGAGGAAUGCGGAAUUCCAGGUGUAGCGGUGAAAUGCGUAGAUAUCGAGAGGAACACCAGUGGCGAAGGCGAGUCUCUGGACGACUCCUGACACUGAGGCACGAAAGCUGGGGGAGCAAACAGG
rnacentral:rRNA from 1 species